rnacentral:tRNA from 1 species
UUAGCUCAGUUGGUUAGAGCGUCUGACUGUUAAUCAGAAGGUCUUAGGUUCGAUUCCUAAAUGAA